rnacentral:misc_RNA from 1 species
UCCGAGUUGACCCCGGCAGUCUCCUACGAGUCCCCACCAUUACGUGCUGGCAACAUAGGACAAGGGUUGCGCUCGUUGCGGGACUUAACCCAACAUCUCACGACACGAGCUGACGACAGCCAUGCAGCACCUGUGUUCCGAUUCCCUUUCGGGCACCCCCACCUCUCAGCAGGGUUCCGGACAUGUCAAGGGUAGGUAAGGUUGUUCGCGUUGCAUCGAAUUAAUCCACAUCAUCCACCGCUUGUGCGGGUCCCCGUCAAUUCCUUUGGGUUUUAGCCUUACGACCGUACUUCCCAGGCAAAGAACUUAAUGCGUUAGCUACGGCACCGCGGGGAUCAACACCCACGACACCUAGUUCUCAUCGUUUACAGCGUGGACUAC